rnacentral:rRNA from 1 species
ACGAGCGCACCCUCGCCUUUAGUUGCCAGCAUGUUUGGGUGGGCACUCUAAAGGAACUGCCGGUGACAAGCCGGAGGAAGGUGGGGAUGACGUCAAGUCCUCAUGGCCCUUAUGUCCUGGGCUACACACGUGCUACAAUGGCGGUGACAGUGGGACGCCAGGCAGCGAUGCCGAGCUGAUCUCCAAAAGCCGUCUCAGUUCGGAUUGCACUCUGCAACUCGGGUGCAUGAAGGUGGAAUCGCUAGUAAUCGUGGAUCAGCAUGCCACGGUGAAUACGUUCCCGGGCCUUGUACACACCGCCCGU